UACGUAGGGUGCAAGCGUUGUCCGGAAUUACUGGGCGUAAAGAGCUCGUAGGCGGUUUGUCGCGUCGUCUGUGAAAACUCGAGGCUCAACCUCGAGCUUGCAGGCGAUACGGGCAGACUUGAGUACUGCAGGGGAGACUGGAAUUCCUGGUGUAGCGGUGAAAUGCGCAGAUAUCAGGAGGAACACCGGUGGCGAAGGCGGGUCUCUGGGCAGUAACUGACGCUGAGGAGCGAAAGCGUGGGGAGCAAACAGG
rnacentral:rRNA from 1 species